UAUUUAGUGUUUUAGUUUGUUAAGUAAAACUUGUAUUGAUUUUUGUUUUGGUUUUGGGGUAUUAUCAGUGAUUUGGGUGAUGUCUCUAGAAAGAUUUUUAUCGCAAAUCUAAGGCUCAAAUCAUAGAGAUUGAGUUGUUUGUUUGCAUCAGCUGUUUCACCUCAAAACAAACCAAACAGUUUGGCAUUUCUAGAAAACUGCAUUUAUUAUUUUAUUGUAUUGAGAAGAAACCAAUAAAUUUGCACAGUAAAACACCCUCCAAGUAUUUGCCAUACAAGAGAAAAUUGAUUUGUUUAGUAGAUUUUACAUUUAAUUUCACAAAUGGUUCUACCAUUUGGGAAUGUCAAAUGACUCAUAAUUCUUUAUUCAAACUUUAUCUCAAACUGGUUUUGGUGCUUGAUUAUCAUUGUGAUAUUUGCUUUGUAGGACUUGCUAAACCUGAUCCUGUUAUAGAAACUUUUUGUACCGAUGAAUUAGUUUUGCAGCAUGUGAAACUUGAUGGAGUUGUUACUUUUGUUGAUUCCAAGCACGCAAUGCAACACCUUAAUGAAAUAAAACCAAGAUUACCGAGGUUGUAGAACAAAUUGCUUAUGCUAAUUGUAUUAUUUUUUAACAAGGUAGAGUUUUUUUUUUUAAUCAGAAAACAAGUUAGAGUGUAUUCAUUGAAUCUGACAUUUGUUUUUAAAAUGUGAGGUGAUUCUGAGCUUUGAAGCUAAUUGGAUUCCAACUAUUUCAGCAGAUAGAUUUAGUGACUGAGGUUGAGCUGGAGAUAUUGACCAAGAGAAUUAAGCAUAUUAAUGGGAUGGCACAAAUGAAGCAAGCUAAGUUUGGAUCCGUUGACAUGGACUUUGUUCUUGGAGUGGGAGGUUAUGAUCUUGAUAGGAUUGAUUCUGAAGUUCAGGUAGAUAAUUCCUGUUCUACAACUCAUCAACAUGAAACUGGAAAAAGUAUUAUUUUCUUUCUCUGAUUUUUCCUUUCCAAUCAUUUUUCUCUGUUUUUUUUCC